rnacentral:lncRNA from 1 species
GCCGCCGGGCCGGAGAGUUUGGGACGCGCCGGGAAGUUGUGCUGGGUGUGCAGCCGCUGCCGCUCCCACCAUGUCGGGCUCCUCCAACGUGGCGGCCAUGAAGAAGGUGGUGCAGCAGCUGCGCCUGGAGGCCAGCGUGACUCGCGUGAAGGUUUCUCAGGCUGCAGCAGACUUGAAGCAGUUCUGCCUGCAGAAUGCACAACAUGAUCCCCUACUGACAGGAGUAUCAUCGAGUACAAAUCCAUUCAGACCCCAGAAAGUUUGUUCAUUUUUGUAAUUACAUGAACUACUUUGGUAUCUUUCAGUGAUCUUCUAGCAUCUUUUCCUAGCUGCUGAUGUGUGUAUGGGUAGAGUGCCUCAAGGAGUGGCCUGGUUUGAAGUCUGUACAAAAGCUUAGCUUUCAUGUGCCAAAUCUAACUGUAAAAUUGCUACUGUCGAACUUCUUACCAUCUACCUCUCCAAAUGAACUGUAUGCUAGUAAAAUACUUCUGUUUCAUAAGGGAAUCAGUUUUAUAUGCCAAGCAAAAAAUAAAAGUGUCUUGACUUAAUCUGGCCUUGAAAUUACUGUAAAAAGUUGAUUAACACCUGGCUAUGUUGACACCUCACCAGUUACUCACUGCAGUAGCCAGGGAGUACACAGAGGAGUCUGUCUUUAAAUAUUCCACGCUACUGCAGGUUUUCCUGGGGUCUUACAGAACAAUGAGUAUUCAUCAAUACUAUACUCAGAAGCAUAACAGAAAAGAAAAAAAAAAAAAG